rnacentral:rRNA from 1 species
UACGUAGGGGGCAAGCGUUGUCCGGAUUUAUUGGGCGUAAAGAGCGCGUAGGCGGUCAGGUAGGUCCGUUGUGAAAACUCGAGGCUCAACCUCGAGACGCCGAUGGAAACCAUCUGACUAGAGUCCGGAAGAGGAGAGUGGAAUUCCUGGUGUAGCGGUGAAAUGCGCAGAUAUCAGGAAGAACACCCGUGGCUAAGGCGGCUCUCUAGUACGGUACUGACGCUGAGACGCGAAAGCGUGGGGAGCGAACAGG